GACGAACGCUGGCGGCGUGCUUAACACAUGCAAGUCGAACGGAAAGGCCCUGCUUUUGUAGGGUGCUCGAGUGGCGAACGGGUGAGUAACACGUGAGUAACCUGCCCUUGACUUUGGGAUAACUUCAGGAAACUGGGGCUAAUACCGGAUAGGAGCUCCUGAUGCAUGGUGGGGGUUGGAAAGUUUCGGCGGUUGGGGAUGGACUCGCGGCUUAUCAGCUUGUUGGUGGGGUAGUGGCUUACCAAGGCUUUGACGGGUAGCCGGCCUGAGAGGGUGACCGGCCACAUUGGGACUGCGAUACGGCCCAGACUCCUACGGGAGGCAGCAGUGGGGAAUAUUGCACAAUGGGCGGAAGCCUGAUGCAGCAACGCCGCGUACGGGAUGACGGCCUUCGGGUUGUAAACCGCUUUCGCCUGUGACGAAGCGUGAGUGACGGUAAUGGGUAAAGAAGCACCGGCUAACUACGUG
rnacentral:rRNA from 1 species